GCAGUGGUGGUUCAGUGGUAGAAUUCUCACCUUUCAUGCAGGAGACCUAGGUUCAACUCCCAGCCAACGCG
rnacentral:tRNA from 1 species